rnacentral:miRNA from 1 species
AGGUUGAUGCAAAAGUAAUCACGGUUUUUGCCACUAAAAAUGGCAAUUACUUUUGCACCAACUUA